UAAGGAGUAUUGGACAAUGGAGGCAACUCUGAUCCAGCCAUGCCGCGUGAAGGAAUAAGGCCCUAUGGGUUGUAAACUUCUUUUAGACGGGACAAAACCCCUUUACGUGUAAAGGGUUGAUGGUACUGUCAGAAUAAGCACCGGCUAACUCCGUGCCAGCAGCCGCGGUAAUACGGAGGGUGCAAGCGUUAUCCGGAUUCACUGGGUUUAAAGGGUGCGUAGGUGGGCAGGUAAGUCAGUGGUGAAAUCUCCGGGCUUAACCCGGAAACUGCCGUUGAUACUAUUUGUCUUGAAUAUUGUGGAGGUAAGCGGAAUAUGUCAUGUAGCGGUGAAAUGCUUAGAUAUGACAUAGAACACCAAUUGCGAAGGCAGCUUACUACACAAUCAUUGACGCUGAGGCACGAAAGCGUGGGGAUCAAACA
rnacentral:rRNA from 1 species